AGUACAAUUGCUGGGUUGUAUGGUAGUUGCCGUUGUGUUUUUUUAAGAAACUGCCAAACUGUUUUCCAGAGUGGCUGGACCAUUUUAUAUUCCCACCAGCAAU
rnacentral:pre_miRNA from 1 species